ensembl:lncRNA
AUGUCCCAUGAAUAUAUUUUCAGAUUUCUACAAUAUGCUACACUUCAAACUUCAUUCUCCAUUAUGAUUCUCUGCUCCAUGAACUGUUUUUAUGAAGCAGCACAAAACCGAUUAAAAAGGUUUGUGCAUCAAAACUCAAUAUCUACUGUCCACUACUCCCAAAAGAUUUCUGCAAUAUGCUACACUUCAAACUUCCUUGAUGAGUUAAUGUUCCAUGAAUGUUUUUUCAGAUUUCUGCAAUACGCUAUACUUCAAACUUCCUUAUC